UGGUAGUCCUGUAGCAAUACAGGAUUGCCGGAAGUGGCGAAAGGGGCAGUAAUGUAUGGGUAACCUACCCGGGGGUCGUGAAUAGCCGUCCUAACGGACGGGUAAUGCACGGCGAUUCGACGAGGGGACAUCCUCUUGUCGGGAAAGAAUUUCGCCUCCGGAGGGGCUCAUAUCGUAUUAGCUAGUUGGUGAGGUAACGGCUCACCAAGGCAAAGAUGCGUAGCGGGUGUGAGAGCACGACCCGCGCCACUGGCACUGAGACACUGGCCAGACACCUACGGGUGGCUGCAGUCGAGGAUCUUCGGCAAUGGGCGCAAGCCUGACCGAGCGACGCCGCGUGGAUGAUGAAGGCCUUCGGGUUGUAAAAUCCUGUCGAGGGGGAUCAAGCGCAAGCUGAGUGAUCCCUGGAGGAAGCACGGGCUAAGUUCGUGCCAGCAGCCGCGGUAAGACGAACCGUGCAAACGUUAUUCGGAAUCACUGGGCAUAAAGGGCGCGUAGGCGGCUCCAAAAGUCAGGGGUGAAAUCCGGCAGCUUAACUGUCGCAGUGCCUUUGAUACUGUGGAGCUAGAGGGAGGUAGGGGUCUGUGGAACUUCCGGUGGAGCGGUGAAAUGCGUUGAUAUCGGAAGGAACGCCGGUGGCGAAAGCGACGGACUGGAACUCUUCUGACGCUGAGGCGCGAAAGCCAGGGGAGCAAACGGGAUUAGAUACCCCGGUAGUCCUGGCCCUAAACGAUGGGUACUAGAUUGCGGACUUACAUGGGUUCGCAGUCGAAGCUAAUGUUUUAAGUACCCCGCCUGGGGAGUAU
rnacentral:rRNA from 1 species